UCAGAUUAUAAACUCAACUUAAAAAAGAGGGCUUCAGAAUUAAAGAAACAUCAGACUCAAACAGGAGGAGGGCCUCUUUUAACAAAUAAAGGUAUAUCUGACACUGAUAACCGAUUAUUAAAUAUUCUUGGAAAGACAUUUUUUGAAGGCUGUGGAACACAGGAAAAAGGUCGAUUUUAGCUGUAAAGAUGGACGGCCCUACUCAAAACUAUCAGAAUCAGGACCAAACUAUCAACAAAAAUUUGUGCCACUUAUGCCGUAAAAUGUUUUCUUCCAUUUCAGCUAAGAACAAACAUAUUAAAGUUAUUCAUAAGCAGCAGCUCCCAGAUAACCCAAAGUCACACAUUUCUUGUCCCUUAUGCAAAGAGACUAAGUAUUCUUGUGAGACUUAUCAAAGACUUGAAGCUUAUUUACAGGUUAAGUCAUGAUAUCAAAAUAGAGUCCUCAACUUUCCAUUUUUCCAGAGAAGAAAGAUUUGAGGAAUGGUUAAGAGAGCAUAAAAUAAGCACAAACUAUGCACUUGUUUGCACAAGGAAAAUUGAAGACAAGAUUGAAAAAGUAUAUUGUUGCAAUCGAAGCGAUUUUAGAGGUAAUUUGUAGCAAUUUCAAUUGUUCAUUAUGGUGUGUGAGCAAAGGAAGGGAAGCGAUUCUGUUUUAGGUGAACUCCUUGGGAAUGUUCUUUCAAUAAUAUUGAAGCUAGCCAUAGUCUAGAAAUUGAAACAUUUGUUAAUGAGAAGACGACUGAAAAUCAACAAGUCGCAGUACAACAAUUGAACAAGCAAUCAACAAGAGAAAUUGAAAUUGAAGUGUGAAAUUGAAAGUGUAUCAAACUUUUUAAGAUAUUUAAAUAAUGAAACUUAUGAUAAGUGCAUGAGACAACUGACAUCAAUGAUGGAACAGAUAAAUAAGACAAAUACAAGUAAACGAAAAAUGGACAAACAAGUUUAUUUUCCAUCAAAGAAGAAGAAGGAGCAAUAAAUAAAAAUAAUUAAUUGUAUAUUUUUUUCUAUUUAUCAGUAUUUUUUUUAUAUAAUAGUAGGUAUAUUUUUAUAGGUUUAACUAUAUAUGUAUGUAUAUGUGUAUUAUAAUUUUUUAUGUAAGUUUGAGGCAAAUAUUUUAAAAAACAUUACCUAUCUCAUAAGUUUCUUGUAGUUUCUUCUUAUGAGUAUUAAUCGAAACUGCGAAUUGUAAAUUAGUAUUUUAGCAUAAAAUAAUUAAGUUUCUUUUCAAAUCAGUCAUAUACAUGUCUUUGCAGCAUUUAUAAAA
rnacentral:lncRNA from 1 species